rnacentral:rRNA from 1 species
ACUGGAGUUUGAUCCUGGCUCAGAUUGAACGCUGGCGGAAUGCUUUACACAUGCAAGUCGAACGGUAGAGGGGGCAACCCCUUGAGAGUGGCGAACGGGUGAGUAAUAUAUCGGAACGUGCCCAGUCGUGGGGGAUAACGUAGCGAAAGUUACGCUAAUACCGCAUACGAUCUAAGGAUGAAAGCGGGGACUCGCAAGAGCCUCGCGCGACUGGAGCGGCCGAUAUCAGAUUAGGUAGUUGGUAGGGUAAAGGCCUACCAAGCCAACGAUCUGUAGCUGGUUUGAGAGAAUGAUCAGUCAGACUGGAACUGAGAUACGGUCCAGACUCCUACGGGAGGCAGCAGUGAGGAAUCUUCCACAAUGGGGCGAAAGCCUGAUGGAGCAACGCCGCGUGCAGGAUGAAGGCCUUC